rnacentral:siRNA from 1 species
GUACAGAUGUGUGAAGGUGAAGAA